rnacentral:rRNA from 1 species
GCAUAUCAAUAAGCGGAGGAAAAGAAACUAACAAGGAUUCCCCUAGUAACGGCGAGCGAAGCGGGAAGAGCUCAAAUUUGAAAGCUGGCACCUCCGGUGUCCGCGUUGUAAUCUCGAGACGUGUUUUCCGUGUGGCGCUAUGGACAAGUCCCUUGGAACAGGGCAUCGUAGAGGGUGAAAAUCCCGUACUUGCCAUGGAUGUACCAUGCUUUGUGAUACACGCUCUAAGAGUCGAGUUGUUUGGGAUUGCAGCUCAAAAUGGGUGGUAGACUCCAUCUAAAGCUAAAUAUCGGGGAGAGACCGAUAGCGAACAAGUACCGUGAGGGAAAGAUGAAAAGCACUUUGGAAAGAGAGUUAAAAGUACGUGAAAUUGUCGAAAGGGAAGCGCUUGAAGUCAGCCAUGCUGCUUGAGACUCAGCCUUGCUUUUGCUUGGUGUAUUUCUCGGUAGCAAGCCAGCAUUGGUUUGAGUCGUCGGAGAAGGGUACGAGAAAUGUGGCAUCCUCGGAUGUGUUAUAGGCUUGUACUGGAUACGACGAUUUGGAUCAAGGAACGCAGUGUGCCUCUGGCGGGUCUUCGGACACCUUCACACUUAGGAUGCUGGCGUAAUGGCUUUAAGCGGCCCGUCUUGAAACACGGACC